UACGUAGGGCGCAAGCGUUGUCCGGAAUUAUUGGGCGUAAAGAGCUCGUAGGCGGCUUGUCACGUCGGAUGUGAAAGCCCGGGGCUUAACUCCGGGUCUGCAUUCGAUACGGGCUGGCUAGAGUGUGGUAGGGGAGAUCGGAAUUCCUGUGUAGCGGUGAAAUGCGCAGAUAUCAGGAGGAACACCGGUGGCGAAGGCGGAUCUCUGGGCCAUUACUGACGCUGAGGAGCGAAAGCGUGGGGAGCGAACAGG
rnacentral:rRNA from 1 species